GACGAACCGUGCGAACGUUGUUCGGAAUCACUGGGCUUAAAGGGCGCGUAGGCGGAUGGCAAAGUCAGGGGUGAAAUCUUUCGGCUCAACCGGAAAAGUGCCUCUGAUACUGGCUGUCUUGAGGGAGGUAGGGGCAUGUGGAACUUCCGGUGGAGCGGUGAAAUGUGUUGAUAUCGGAAGGAACGCCGGUGGCGAAAGCGACGUGCUGGACCUCUUCUGACGCUGAGGCGCGAAAGCUAGGGGAGCGAACGGG
rnacentral:rRNA from 1 species